GCAAGUGCCGUUGACAGAAUGCAGGCGGGAAGCUUCAGUUUGGGUAGAGAUGUAGCAUCAAACAUUCACGGAUGUCCAGGGAGCACGGGCACACAGGCUGCUGGCCAGAGGUACUAGGAAGGUACAGGCGGGAGUUCGACGAGGACGCACCUUCCCCUGUCUUGGAAAGGAGGCUGCUCACAGCGCUGCUGGACUCUUUAAGCCCUGAGGUCAUGUGAAAAGAAGUUUGCCCUGUGUCCUUCUGUCUCCUGUUGGCUGUCCACAAAAUGGAGAAGGCGGAAGCAACCUGAGGCGUCCUCUUUGUCUGUAAAGAUAGAGAGUCCAUUGUGGAAGGGGGAGAUACAGGAACUAUAUAGGCGAGGCUCUACCGGACUGCAUCUCUUAUCUCCAGAAUUCUUUUACAGAAAAGAAAAAAAUAAACUUUUAUCUGGCUUAAGCCACUACUGUUUCUGGGCUCUGUUACUAGCUGCCAAAUGCAAAUCUUAACUGAUAGAAAAGUCCUUGACGGAGUUUGAGCUGGUGAAUGGAUGCUGCCUGUUCAGUGGCUCUGCAGUGGUGGAUCUGUGGGAGUGGAGCAUCCUGGAGGGUAUCAGGAGAUAAAGAUGGCUUGGCAGAUGGGGGCAGACAGUGAGAAUACACCUCACAAGGUGUCACGGACUUUCUUUUCCCCCAGGACACCUCUGCUGAAGUACUGUUAUACAGUGGCUCUUUAAACGUCUAUUGAUGGAGUAAUUUGAAGUCCGCUCCUGUCAGCUGGCCUCAAAGCUGGGCUAUUUAGAAGAUGCGUACUCUUUGUGCCUAAAAAAAAGAGCAGCAGGUAAAGAAUGGAGCGGGAAGGGGUAUCAGCAUUACAGGAAAGUCAAGUGACUCCCUGCAGGCGUCUCCAAGGAAAGGACUUUGUUACACGUGAUUGUCUAAUGAAAAUACAUCAAAGUCUAAUGAAGAUAUCCUUUACUGAGUAGCAACUGUAAAUAAUGUCCCAGAUGUACAUCCUUCUGUAGCUUAUAGCAUGAAUUCAUAUACUACCUAUUUCUAAUUUAUUAUUUUCAUAAUAACUUCAUCAUCGUAAGAUUAGGCAAGACUGUUCCAUUUUACGUUAGAAGGACAUUUACUGUUUAUAUGGAUUAUAAAAAUAUGAACAGACUCCGGUUCUAGCUCAUUCUGUAAUCCAAGUACUUGUGAGCCAGAGGCAGAAAGACAGUUGUGAGUUUAAGGUCAGGUGACUGUGGGUGACAUAGUCCAGGGACCAGGGGGCUGCAGGGUUAGACCUUCCUCUCAAAAAAAAAAAAAAAAAAACCAUAAAAAAGUUCAGUUACACAGCACAACUACUAAAGCAACAUAAAAGAGAGUAGCUUGGCCCCAUGUAACGAAUGAUUUUACCAUCUUUUUCUAUUGUGUAAGAAACUGUAAGUCCAGAGCCAGGGAGACAGCUCAUCAGGCAAAACUGCUUGCCACAAACCUGACAGCCUGGGUGUGAUCCCUGGAACUGACCCCUGAGAAGUGUCCUCUGCCUUCCUCACUUGUACCUUGGCACCCACAUGUCAUUCACACAUCACACAUCACACACACACACACACCAAUAAAUAAUAAUAGUAAAUUCAAUCUUAAUUCCAGAGCAUAGAUCUCUUGUCAACUAAAUGUAUUAACUUACUAUUUCCUUCCUUCCUUCCUUCCUUCCUUCCUNNNNNNNNNNNNNNNNNNNNNNNNNNNNNGGAUAUCCUGGAAUUCACUUUGUAGACCAGGCUGGCCUCGAACUCAGAAAUCCGCCUGCCUCUGCCUCCCGAGUGCUGGGAUUAAAGGUGUGCGCCACCAUGCCCGACACUAUUCCAUUUCUUUUUUUCUUUCUUAAAACUUAGUUGGGGGCUGGAGAGAUAGCUCAGCAGUUAGAGCACCGGUUGCUCUUCCAGAGGACCUACAUUCCACUCCCAGCACCCACAUGGCAGAUCAUAGCCAUCUAUAUAACUCCAGUUCUAACCCUGGGCACCAGACGUGAGCAUGGUACACAGAUAUGCAUGUAGAAAAAAAACCCAUAUGCAUAAGAUAAAUGAAGCUUUUAAAAGUAUAUGUUGGGACUCUAAGGUUCCUUUCAAACUUGGCAUGGAUAAAUAAUCAGAAGCCUCACAAUUCACCUUCAUAUCUCAACUCCAUUAAAGCUGUGGCCUUCAGCCUUUCUCUCCACCUCGGGGAGGACAGAUGUUACCUGAAAUAUCUUUUUUNNNNNNNNNNNNNNNNNNNNNNNNNNNNNNNNNNNNCCGCCUGCCUCUGCCUCCCGAGUGCUGGGAUUAAAGGCGUGCGCCACCACUGCCCGGCCUGAAAUAUUUUUUUAAUUAAUUAUGUCUCCUUGUCCUUUGCCUUGAUUUUGUCAAAAUAACGUGUAAGAAUUCAACCACUACUGACUAUUCAGGUACGGAUCUCUACACUUUUGCCAAAGGAUUGUUUGGGUAAUUUUAAUUCUUUCUUAUUUCUCAUGUGUGUGUGUGGGGGGGGGUGGGUGUGUAUGUGUGUGUGUGGUUGUUGCUUGUUUUUGUUUCUCUCUUUCUUUUUCCUUUUUAAAAAUGCAGUCUUGCUAUGUAGUGCCUGUUAGCCUGCUACUUACUAUGCAGCCCAUAACUCUUGGCGAUCCUCCUGCAUCAGCAAGUUUCACAGUCUUAGGUCACCAUGCCCAGCUUCAACUAUUAGGGUUUGACUGGUACUUCUCUGAAGUUCCUGGGUUGCAUUUUGUAAGAUCUGCACUGAGGAGAAAGACGCUGAAGCCUGCCAUCUGCCGCACAGACUUUGUUUUCUCCGGUUAAACGGUAACGAUGCUGCUAUGUGUGGGGCACCGUGUGCCAGCAGCUGAGUGGCUGGCUCGUAUUCUAACCCCAAUGAAGACUCUGGGAAGCAGCUGUAUUGGUGAAGAAACCGUUUCGGAGCUGUGGCUCAAGGCUGCAGAGAGCAGCUGAGCAAGGGCAGUUUAAGGUCUUGCUGACUCCUGUGUGGCUCAGAGGGUGACCUGUCAUUCUUAUAAAUAAUCUGGAGGAGAACAAGGCCAACUGUCUCCGUGCGACACUUGAUCCCACAUUUAUCCUUUCAGGCUGCCAAACUGAAAGACCUUAUGGUGAUUAAAUAUUUCUGGCCAGCAAUGCCCUGCCACUUUAUUGAAAAACGAUAGCCUGAUAUCUUCUAUAAUUUUUUUUUUUUCUGUUGAGACAAGGUCUCAUGCAGUCCAGGCCAGUCUUGAAUUCACUGUGUAGCCAAGGUCGACCUUCAGUUUCUGAUCCCCCUGCCUCCUUCUUCUAAGUACCAAAGCUAAAGGUGUGCCCAGAUUGUCAUGCCAUGGCUUUGUGCGUGCUAGGUAAGCGUUCUAACUGAACCACAUCUAUAGCUCUGAAACUGUUUCCAUAAAAACAAAUGUUCUGUAUCAGCGUUAGCUAUGGUGGACAAGCUGCCCCAAGGCACCAUAGUUCAUUGGUAAUGCAUUGCAGAGGGGCUGGAGAAAUGGCUCAGCGGUAAAGAACACUGACUGCUCUUCGGAAGGUCCUGAGUUCAAAUCUCAGCAACCACAUAGUGGCUCAUAACCAUCUGGAAUGAGAUCUGACGCCCUCCUCUGGUGUGUCUGAAGACAGCUACAGUGUACUUACAUAUAAUAAUAAAUAAAUCUUUAAAAAAAGAACACAGUAAAAAACAAAACGACACACACACACACACACACACACACAUACAAUGCAUUGCAGAGGGUCCACCCUUUUCAUUGGAUGGACAAGGCUCUGCUUCAUGGGGAUGAUGGUAGGGAUGGGAGCUGUCUGAAUGCCAAACAGUAAUAAAUCAAACAAAUGACAAACCACACACACAAACACACACACACACACACACACACACACACUACCCCCCCAAAGAAAAACCAAAAUUAAAUGAAUUAAAAAACAGGACCGGUAAGAUAGGUCAGUUGGUAAAAGUGCUUGCUGCUGGAACCCCAUCGGAGAGGGCAAGAACCCAUUCCUAAAGGUUGUCCUCUGAAUUCUCUGUGCAGAACACUACAGAACACACCUUUGUCUGUGCCUCAGUCUCUUCUGAAGCACACAGAAUAACAUCACUUUAUUUGGCAGGGGUGGAGGUGGGCAGCAAGCUACUGUAAACCAGGUUUGGGAAAUCUCUUCUCAAAGGACAGGCCAUGUUGCGGUAAGAGAAGUAUGCUAGCUCAUAGAAGCUUGGGUGUGAAAGUUCUUUGUAUUUUCUAAGGUUUUUAGAGCAGAGCUGGAGAUAUGAGAUUUUAAUGUAGAACUGAAGCCCUAGGGCUAAGAGAAAGGAGAAUGCACUGGAAGAAAGGAAAGUGCAACCAAGAACCAAGGUGUGGGCUUCUCAAACAUUGCCUUCUUCCAGGGCAGAGAAGGCCCAGAUCAGGGCCAUGUAUCUGCAGAGGCCCAUAGGCAAGCCUGUGGUGUAUUUUCUCGGUUGAUGUGGAAGGGCCCAGCAUGUGGUAGUGGUUCUGAGUUCUAUGAGAAAGCAGGUUUCAAGAGAAGAUAAAAAACAAAACAAAACAAAACAAAAACGCACACAGGUAAACAUUCCCUGUCUAGGGAACUGAUAGAAAAUGUUGUCAGUUAUUUGUCUGUAUUUUUUUAGUUGAAAUUUUAUCUUAUUUAUGUGUAUGUAUCUCUGGGUGUCUGCCACUUGUAUUUGGAUGGUCACGUAGAUCAGAGAAGGCAUCAGAGCCCCUGAAGCUGGAGUUCUAGGCAAUUCUGAGCAGCCCAGUGUCAUUGCUGAAAACUGAACUUGGCCCCUCUAGAAGAGCAGCCUGUGCUCUUAACUGCUGGGCUACCUCUCCAGUCCCCAUUUGUGUAUAUUUUGAUAUUACUUAUUUAUUAAUUUAUUUUUGUUUGUUUGUCUUCAAGGCAGGGUUUCUCUAUGCAGCCCUGGCUAUCCUGGAACUCGCUCUGUAAAGCAGGCUGGCCUCUGACUCAAGAGCUGUACUUUCCUCUUCUUCCCAAGUGCUGGGACUAAAGGUGUGCACCCCACCCCCCACCCCGGCUGAUUUUAUUUAUUUAUUUUGUAAGUAUCUAUUGUUUUUAUUAUUGUAUGUGAAUGGGUGUUUUAUGUAUACAUGUUACAUGUAUCCACUACUUGCAUGCAGUGCCUGAGGAAGCCAGAAGAGGGCAUCAAAUCCCCUGCAACUGGAGUUAAGAGUUGAAUCUGGGUCCUCUGGAAGAACAGCAGAUGCUCUUAACUGCUGGAUUAUCUCUCCAGCCAUUGUCUCCCCACCCCACCCCGCCCCAGACAGGGUUUCUCUGUGUAGCUCUGGCUGUCCUGGAACUCANNNNNNNNNNNNNNNNNNNNNNNNNNNNNNNNNNNNNNNNNNN
ensembl:lincRNA Lockd lncRNA downstream of Cdkn1b